rnacentral:rRNA from 1 species
CGUAAGNGGCGGACGGGUGAGGAAUACAUCGGAAUCUACUCUGUCGUGGGGGAUAACGUAGGGAAACUUACGCUAAUACCGCAUACGACCUACGGGUGAAAGCAGGGGAUCUUCGGACCUUGCGCGAUUGAAUGAGCCGAUGUCGGAUUAGCUAGUUGGCGGGGUAAAGGCCCACCAAGGCGACGAUCCGUAGCUGGUCUGAGAGGAUGAUCAGCCACACUGGAACUGAGACACGGUCCAGACUCCUACGGGAGGCAGCAGGG